rnacentral:rRNA from 1 species
UACGUAGGCAGCGAGCGUUGUUCGGAGUUACUGGGCGUAAAGGGUGCGUAGGCGGUCUGCUAAGUUUGAUGUGAAAUCCCGGGGCUCAAUCCUGGAAUGGCAUUGAAUACUGGCGGACUAGAGUACCGGAGAGGAAACUGGAAUUUACGGUGUAGCAGUGAAAUGCGUAGAGACCGUAAGGAAGACCAGUGGCGAAGGCGAGUUUCUGGACGGUAACUGACGCUGAGGCACGAAGGCCAGGGGAGCAAACGGG